GCCUUCGUGGUGUAAUGGUCAGUACACUGAGCUGGUAUUUCAGAGGUCCGUGGUUCGAUCCCCGGCGAAGGCA
rnacentral:tRNA from 1 species